AGUCGAACGGUAACAGAACUAGCUUGCUAGUUGCUGACGAGUGGCGGACGGGUGAGUAAUACUUAGGGAUCUGCCUCUGUGUGGGGGAUAACUAUUGGAAACGAUAGCUAAUACCGCAUAACGUCUACGGACCAAAGAGGGCUUCGGCUCUCGCGCAGAGAGGAACCUAAGCGAGAUUAGCUUGUUGGUGAGGUAAAGGCUCACCAAGGCGACGAUCUCUAGCUGUUCUGAGAGGAAGAUCAGCCACACUGGAACUGAGACACGGUCCAGACUCCUACGGGAGGCAGCAGUGGGGAAUAUUGCACAAUGGGGGCAACCCUGAUGCAGCCAUGCCGCGUGUGUGAAGAAGGCCUUCGGGUUGUAAAGCACUUUCACUGGUGAAGAUGAUGACGGUAACCAGAGAAGAAGCCCCGGCUAACUUCGUGCCAGCAGCCGCGGUAAUACGAAGGGGGCGAGCGUUGUUCGGAAUUACUGGGCGUAAAGGGAGCGCAGGCGGUUCAUUUAGUUAGGCGUGAAAGCCCCGGGCUCAACCUGGGAACUGCGCUUAAUACUGAUGAACUAGAAAACAGAA
rnacentral:rRNA from 1 species